rnacentral:lncRNA from 1 species
GAACGGUUUUGAUCCCUUCUCGCAUGAACGGAUGGCCCAGAUCAAAAAAGCGCACGAAUGGCCCAGAUUAAAUCGCGCACGGACGAAGCAAAUUGAAUCGCGAUGAAUGGCCCAGAUUCACUCCCUAUGUAAUCGCAAUCGAACGGUCCAGAUUAAAAGAAAUGGACGGCCCAGAUAAAAAGUGGAUGGGUAUAAAUAACCCCAUCCCACACCCAAACCCUAACCCUAGCCACUAGAGCCCCUCGCCUUAGAAGACAGCCCAGCUGUCGGGGAGUCGACCACCACUACCUACCGCCGUACCGGAGCAAUUUUCGACCGCCAAACAAGGUAAAAAUUUCCCCUCUUGCAUGAAAUUAAAUUUUAAACCCACCCAUGGCCAAAUUGGAGUGAAAGAACUGGUUGAUUGGCUGAAAAAUGCUACCGCGGGAUGUUUCAAAAAUACCUCCGAUGAGGCCCUUCCCGAUUCUUGUUCGAUGUGAUUUUUCCACCGUUGUGACCACUGUUUCCUUCUCUACAGGUUGUCCAAAGUAAAACACCCAACCAUAACGUGAGAUAAAGAGCUCCACCGCCGGUGAAUUUUGGUUUUCUGCAUAUUUUUGGCCCACCGAGGGCCCUAAGUGUGUUUUCUCAUAGGAACCAGUGCAAGUUCGGCUGAAUUUGACCAAAAACGGUUGAAAAUAGCCAACCCGAGCUGGAUCACUGCCGUGGGCAGCGGCUCCAUCACCAGAGCACGGCGGAGCCGCCGUGCUGAAAUUUUGAAAUUGGCCGAGUAGGCCCUGGGUCUGAUUUUUGAGUUUAUUUGGGACACUUGUAGGUAUCGUAAGCGUAUUUCAGUUCUCGAAGAAAAAUUCAAGGAACCCAGGGACCGUCCGUAGGCGCAGUAACCAUCUAGUUUUCAGCGUCGAAUCAAGUAAGGACCCCUCACCCUAUUUUCUAUCAUAGAUGUGAAGUUUGAAUAAAUAAUAAUACGGUCCUUCAUACAAAUUAGAUGAAUAUGCAUAAUUAAUUACAAAUUGCUAAUGGAGUCCGAAAUUGGACAUU